CCCUGUGGCUCAGUUGAUAGAGCAUGGUGUUUGCAACGCCAGGGUUGUGGGUUCAAUUCCCACAGGGG
rnacentral:tRNA from 1 species